rnacentral:rRNA from 1 species
GUGGGGAAUCUUCCACAAUGGACGAAAGUCUGAUGGGGCAACGCCGCGUGAGUGAAGAAGGGUUUCGGCUCGUAAAGCUCUGUUGUCGGGGACGAACGUGAGAUACUUGAAUAAAGUGUCUUAAUGACGGUACCUGACGAGGAAGCCACGGCUAACUACGUGCCAGCAGCCGCGGUAAUACGUAGGUGGCAAGCGUUGUCCGGAAUUAUUGGGCGUAAAGGGAGCGCAGGCGGGAAGGUAAGUCGGUCUUAAAAGUGCGGGGCUCAACCCCGUGAUGGGAUCGAAACUAUCUUUCUUGAGUGCAGGAGAGGAAAGUGGAAUUCCUAGUGUAGCGGUGAAAUGCGUAGAUAUUAGGAGGAACACCAGUGGCGAAGGCGACUUUCUGGACUGUAACUGACGCUGAGGCUCGAAAGCCAGGGGAGCGAACGGGAUUAGAUACCCCUGUAGUCC